GGGGAUAGGGUAAUCUAAGGGGCGCUCGAGAGAACUCGCGUCAAGGAACUCGGCAAAAUACACACGUAACCUCGGGAGAAGUGUGACCCUUGCCUUUGGUGAGGGUGGCAGAAAGCAGGUCCAGGCGACUGUUUAUCAAAAACAUAGCCAUCUGCAAAUCAGUAAUGAGACGUAUAGGUGGUGACACCUGCCCGGUGCUGGAAGGUUAAGAGGAGAGGUUCGUGGUAACACAACGCUUUGAAUUGAAGCCCCAGUAAACGGCGGCCGUAACUAUAACGGUCCUAAGGUAGCGAAAUUCCUUGUCGGGUAAGUUCCGACCCGCACGAAUGGUGUAACGACUCUGGACACUGUCUCGACGCGAGACUCGGUGAAAUUUAUGUACCGGUAAAGAAGCCGGUUACCCAUAGUUAGACGGGAAGACCCCGUGAACCUUCACCGUAGCUUACUAUUGGAACUUGGUUUACCAUGUGUAGUAUAGGUGGGAGACAGAGAAGCUUGGCCGUCAGGUUAGGCGGAGUCAACAGUGAAAUACCACCCUUGGUACGUCAGGUUUCUAACCUUUGGCCGUGGAUCCGGCAAAGGGACCGUGGUAGGUGGGCGGUUUGACUAAUAAA
rnacentral:rRNA from 1 species